UGGGGAAUUUUGGACAAUGGGGGCAACCCUGAUCCAGCAAUGCCGCGUGAGUGAAGAAGGCCUUCGGGUUGUAAAGCUCUUUUGUCAGGGAAGAAACGGUAGUAGCGAAUAACUAUUACUAAUGACGGUACCUGAAGAAUAAGCACCGGCUAACUACGUGCCAGCAGCCGCGGUAAUACGUAGGGUGCAAGCGUUAAUCGGAAUUACUGGGCGUAAAGCGUGCGCAGGCGGUUGUGUAAGUCAGAUGUGAAAUCCCCGGACUCAACCUGGGAAUUGCAUUUGAGACUGCAUGGCUAGAGUGUGUCAGAGGGGGGUAGAAUUCCACGUGUAGCAGUGAAAUGCGUAGAUAUGUGGAGGAAUACCGAUGGCGAAGGCAGCCCCCUGGGAUAACACUGACGCUCAUGCACGAAAGCGUGGGGAGCAAACAGGAUUAGAUACCCCCGUAGUCCCUGAGCGGGCUGGCAAGGCGCAU
rnacentral:rRNA from 1 species